rnacentral:rRNA from 1 species
CGUGCAGGCGGUUUCGUAAGUCGAGCGUGAAAGCUCCUGGCUUAACUGGGAGAGGCCGUUCGAUACUGCGGAACUUGAGGUCGGGAGAGGGACGUGGAAUUCCCGGUGUAGUGGUGGAAUGCGUAGAUAUCGGGAGGAACACCAGUGGCGAAGGCGACGUCCUGGCCCGUACCUGACGCUAAGACGCGAAAGCGUGGGUAGCGAACG